AUUAUAAGAACGGGAGGUUAUGGUUUCUCCCAAAUAUGUUAUCGACCCGAAGAAAGGUGGAGAGAAGGCAGGCGAUAGAACAGAUCCAUUUAGGUGGAUGAUUGAUGGUUUCUCAACCAUUGCAAAUCGAGGUGCUGAGGCGUAUUACUCCGGUACUUUCACAGCCUGUGGUUUUACCUGGGAGUUGCUACUGGAAUCAGUUUUAGAAGAAGAUGGUGAGAAAUAUGUCGGUCUUUACCUCUCACAUGAUAAUGCAGCUUCAAAAAAUUCAGUGAUCAAAGCAAUCUAUAAGCUCUUCAUAUAUGAUCAAUUACAUGCGGAGCACAUACAAAAGGAAGGUCACUAAACUUUCAAAGUUCCAGAAUAACUCAUCUUAAUACAGGAAGUUGCUCUUACCUGGAUUUGUUGGUGCAGUUAAUUAUAAUGUUCUCUUAACUUUUUCAUUUAGGCGAAGACUAUUUCCAUAGCGAAUCCCUUGAUGGUUUUUGUUGUAAGGUUGCAUUGAACAAGUUCAACAAUUCAAAAUCUGGUUUACUUGUCAACGAUUGUUGCAUCUUUGGAGCUGAAGUCUUGGAGGCUUAUGCAUGCAAAUUAGACAAAGAAGGAAUCAGUAAAUUCUGGUCCCUAAACAAAGACGUAACUCCUCGAAUAUAUACUUGGGUAAUCAAGAAUGUUUCCAAAUCGAAGGUUGAACUAAAGUCUGAAGUUUUUGCGUCAGGCGGCUACAACUGGAGUAUCUCGCUCUAUCCAAACUUAGACACAUACAAAGACUCCGUUGCUGUUUUCUUGAGGAUGGACUAUUCUACUGUUCUUGCUUCCAAGGCAAGUGUCUAUGUGGAUUUUAGCCUUUGCUUGUUGGAUCAACUCAAUGCCAAGAACUUGAAGUUUUCAUGUUUAGACAAUUUGAUUUCUCUGCUUUCUUUUCUUUAACUUGAAAUAAUCAUAUGAUCAUAUUUUCUUAUUUAUUUUUGUAGUGAAAUACUUGUUCUCGUCAGAGAAUUACAGUUGGGGAUUUCCCAAGUUCCUAAGCUGGAAAGAAGUACAAGAUCCAUCUAGAGGAUUUCUGCUCAACGAUACAUGCAUCGUUGAAGCAUCUAUUGUGGUUCUUGGAGUAGACACCAUUGCUUGAACAAUAACCAAGAGAAUCCAUUGCGACUUAUCCUUGUGAUAAAUAUAUUUCUUUGUUCUUUCUUUGUAUGUCUCAAAAAACAUUGACAAGUUGAUAAAUGCAUGGGAACAGCAUGUGAUUGUAUAAAAUUAAGUAAUAUACCAUAAAAUAUCUUGAUGUUAAAUAUAUUUUUUCCAAUUAUGCAA